GAUCAUGGCUCAGGAUGAACGCUAGCUACAGGCUUAACACAUGCAAGUCGAGGGGCAGCAGGACGAUAGCUUGCUAUGUUGCUGGCGACCGGCGCACGGGUGAGUAACGCGUAUCCAACCUUCCCCUUAGUAGGGCAUAGCCCGGUGAAAAUCGGAUUAAUACCCUAUGUUGUGUCAUGAGGACAUCUGAAUAACACUAAAGAUUUAUCGCUAAGGGAUGGGGAUGCGUCCGAUUAGGUAGUCGGCGGGGUAACGGCCCACCGAGCCCUCGAUCGGUAGGGGUUCUGGGAGGAAGGUCCCCCACACUGGUACUGAGACACGGACCAGACUCCUACGGGAGGCAGCAGUGAGGAAUAUUGGUCAAUGGGCGUAAGCCUGAACCAGCCAAGUAGCGUGCAGGAUGACGGCCCUAUGGGUUGUAAACUGCUUUUAUACGGGGAUAAAGUGAGGGACGUGUCCCUUAUUGUAGGUACCGUAUGAAUAAGGACCGGCUAAUUCCGUGCCAGCCGCAGC
rnacentral:rRNA from 1 species